AUAUCAAUAAGCGGAGGAAAAGAAACCAACAGGGAUUGCCUUAGUAACGGCGAGUGAAGCGGCAACAGCUCAAAUUUGAAAUCUGCCUCUAGGCCGAGUUGUAAUUUGUAGAAGAUGCUUCGGGUGUGGCACCGGUCUAAGUUCCUUGGAACAGGACGUCAUAGAGGGUGAGAACCCCGUCUUUGGCCAGUGGUUUGCGCUAUGUGAAACCCCUUCAACGAGUCGAGUUGUUUGGGAAUGCAGCUCUAAAUGGGAGGUAAAUUUCUUCUAAAGCUAAAUACUGGCCAGAGACCGAUAGCGCACAAGUA
rnacentral:rRNA from 1 species